UACAAUACGUGUGUAAUAUUUUAUACUAGGAAGAUCAGUGAAAUUAG
rnacentral:guide_RNA from 1 species